rnacentral:rRNA from 1 species
CCUACGGGUGGCAGCAGUGGGGAAUAUUGCACAAUGGGCGCAAGCCUGAUGCAGCCAUGCCGCGUGUGUGAAGAAGGCCUUCGGGUUGUAAAGCACUUUCAGCGGGGAGGAAGGCGGUGAGGUUAAUAACCUCAUCGAUUGACGUUACCCGCAGAAGAAGCACCGGCUAACUCCGUGCCAGCAGCCGCGGUAAUACGGAGGGUGCAAGCGUUAAUCGGAAUUACUGGGCGUAAAGCGCACGCAGGCGGUCUGUCAAGUCGGAUGUGAAAUCCCCGGGCUCAACCUGGGAACUGCAUUCGAAACUGGCAGGCUAGAGUCUUGUGGAGGGGGGUAGAAUUCCAGGUGUAGCGGUGAAAUGCGUAGAGAUCUGGAGGAAUACCGGUGGCGAAGGCGGCCCCCUGGACAAAGACUGACGCUCAGGUGCGAAAGCGUGGGGAGCAAACAGGAUUAGAUACCCGGGUAGUC